UCCAGAAUUCUCGCCGAAUCAUGGUGUCGCCCGUCUUUAUGUAUGUUCUCCAAGGAGCCGUUAUGGGACUCGUGGUUGCUGGAGCCGCUUACGAGGUGACACCUCGUGUCCAAGACAGUCUCAAACGUUGGAUAAUUUCCAAUGAAGAGAUACUGAAAUCUAGCCGCAAUAUAAUAAGAAUGGAGGAGAAUGAGAGGAGGCGGGGAUGGCUCUAAGGUUCAGAAAUGAACCCGUCAUAUUGUGAAUUUGUGGAAGCCUACGUACUUUUGGCUUUAUGUAAUUUGUGAGAGACAACUUUUGGCUUUAUGUAACUAUAACUACAUUUACGCUCAGUAUUUCUCAUGUCUUAGUUUAGAAGGUUCUGUUCUGUACCUUAAUUUAGGGAAUUUAGGGUGGUGUAUUCAUUUAAGAGUCUAGGAUUUUUUUGUAUUUUGAAAGUCUAUAGGUAUUCAAUUGAGAUUUUAAACAA